GUCUAAUUUCAACUCGCUCUCGCGGUAACUUUGACUUCACCCUCCUGUCAUUUCUUGCUUUGCCGCUUGAAGUCGAACACACUAGUGGUUCGCGUGCAUGAUGUUUUGCCGCGCAGUGUUGUGAUUCGCUUAUUUCCUAUUUACUUGUCACCUAUUGGUGGCAUUGUCAUCAGACCCCCCCCCAAAAAAAACUCUUUGGAUCUGCACGAGUCACACAAGUCACCCAAACUGCCGUGAAAAAGCGGGAGGCGCCGAAAAGCGCCGUGUUUGCAUCCCUGAAGGUAAGUAUAAUUGAUUUUUCAAUUCAUUUGCAAGCCCCUGGCGAUUAAAGGUAAAUGUUUUGCCUAUACUCUUGUGUGCUUAUCAUUAUAAAUGACCCCUAAAUGUAAUUUAAUCUCAAUUCCAGGACAGUCAGCCUGGGAGAGUUACAAAAUGGAAAGCUUGUGAACAGCAGAAUGGUGGUUGUAAGAUUUACUGAGCAAGAGGCGAGUGUCCCCUUAAUAAUGGCCAAAGUGAAAGAUGCCUUAGGAAGCAACGAAGAAAUGAUCCUGACAGACCACAACGGAGUGGAAAUUUUAGACUCAGAAGGAACAAGAGGCUCCUUUUACUGGAAGCAGAACUCAUGAAAAGUCAUGGCUGUACCGGAGGCUGACUUCCGUGCUGUGCAACAAAAGAAGCAGAGAAUCUCACGCAGAGAUGAUGAGGGCGGACUGGACGGUGUGUUCGAGAAAAUUUAGGAGGUUGUCCUGGCCGCACAGGGUUUAUCUGAAGUGACUACUGCCAUCCUGGAACUCUCUGACGUGGUCCGUCAAAACAGAAAGACAACAUUAGUACUGACUGAAGAACAGUCCAGGAAUGUGAGAGGUUCCUUAAAAAUAGCAUUAUUCAAAACAAAUGCAAAAGCCAUGUCUUUGUUUGUAUGUUUAAGUGUGGCUUGAUUAAUGGGAACUUUGUGUUUUGUUGUAUUCCCUUUGAAAGUUCAGUAGCUGUGUGUGACAAAAAUAAUGCCAGCAAACUGUAUGUCCUCAUGUGUUCUACUGUAUUUUAUGCGGUGAUAUUCUGGCAAUCACAGCUGCCGGAAAUUUACUGUAGAUCAAACUGCAAUAAAAUACUGUGAUAUAUGAUACAGUUGUGAUGUGUUUUUCAUAGUGAAAGAAUGUAAUGGGGUUAACAGAAUAUGUGGUAUUUCACAUUAGUUUACUGUAAACAGCUUCACAUUAUUGAUGUUGUUUAGCAGUAAA